GUGGGGAAUCUUGCGCAAUGGGCGAAAGCCUGACGCAGCCAUGCCGCGUGAAUGAUGAAGGUCUUAGGAUUGUAAAAUUCUUUCACCGGGGACGAUAAUGACGGUACCCGGAGAAGAAGCUCCGGCUAACUUCGUGCCAGCAGCCGCGGUAAUACGAAGGGGGCUAGCGUUGCUCGGAAUUACUGGGCGUAAAGGGCGCGUAGGCGGACAGCUUAGUCAGAGGUGAAAGCCCAGGGCUCAACCUUGGAAUUGCCUUUGAUACUGGCUGUCUUGAGUUUGGGAGAGGGGAGUGGAACUCCGAGUGUAGAGGUGAAAUUCGUAGAUAUUCGGAAGAACACCAGUGGCGAAGGCGACUCACUGGCCCAAUACUGACGCGGAGGCGCGAAAGCGUGGGGAGCAAACAGGAUUAGAUACCCGUGUAGUCC
rnacentral:rRNA from 1 species